rnacentral:snRNA from 1 species
UAACGACGAGCGGACCGACUUUCGCCCAUGCGGACACUUCGAAUGUGUACAAAUGUUGAGCCU